CGGAGUAUAGCUCAGCUUGGUAGAGCGCCACCUUCGGGAGGUGGAGGUCGUAGGUUCAAAUCCUGCUACUCCGACCA
rnacentral:tRNA from 8 species